rnacentral:rRNA from 1 species
GAUGAACGCUGGCGGCGUGCCUAAUACAUGCAAGUAGAACGCUGAAGCUUGGUGCUUGCACCGAGUGGAAGAGUUGCGAACGGGUGAGUAACGCGUAGGUAACCUGCCUCUUAGCGGGGGAUAACUAUUGGAAACGAUAGCUAAUACCGCAUAAAAGUCAAUAUCGCAUGAUAUUGAUUUGAAAGGUGCAAAUGCAUCACUAAGAGAUGGACCUGCGUUGUAUUAGCUAGUUGGUGAGGUAACGGCUCACCAAGGCGACGAUACAUAGCCGACCUGAGAGGGUGAUCGGCCACCUGGGACUGAGACCGGCCCAGACUCCUACGGGAGGCAGCAGUAGGGAAUCUUCGGCAAUGGACGGAAGUCUGACCGAGCAACGCCGCGCGAGUGAAGAAGGUUUUCGGAUCGUAAAGCUCUGUUGUAAGAGAAGAACGAGUGUGAGAGUGGAAAGUUCACACUGUGACGGUAACUUACAGAAAGGCGG